rnacentral:rRNA from 1 species
AGUGAACGCUGGCGGUAUGCCUAACACAUGCAAGUCGAACGGCAGCACAGUAAGAGCUUGCUAUUACUGGUGGCGAGUGGCGGACGGGUGAGGAAUACAUCGGAAUCUACUUUUUCGUGGGGGAUAACGUAGGGAAACUUACGCUAAUACCGCAUACUACCUACGGGUGAAAUCAGGGGAUCUUCGGACCUUGCGCGAUUGAAUGAGCCGAUGUCGGAUUAGCUAGUUGGCGGGGUAAAGGCCCACCAAGGCGACGAUCCGUAGCUGGUCUGAGAGGAUGAUCAGCCACACUGGAACUGAGACACGGUCCAGACUCCUACGGGAGGCAGCAGUGGGGAAUAUUGGACAAUGGGCGAAAGCCUGAUCCAGCCAUACCGCGUGGGUGAAGAAGGCCUUCGGGUUGUAAAGCCCUUUUGUUGGGAAAGAAAAGCAGCAGGUUAAUACCCCGAUGUUCUGACGGUACCCAAAGAAUAAGCACCGGCUAACUUCGUG